UAAAGGAUGCAAAAUACAAACUUUCAUCAACUUCAAAUUUGCUGUAAAUGAAUGGGAUCAUUGAGCCUUCAUUGGAAUCGGUAAACAUGCUACAACUGUGUCAAA